UGGAGAGGUUGCUCACUGCAACCUCUGCCUCCCGGGUUCAAGCGAUUCUUGUGCCUCUUCCCUACCUGAGUAGCUGGGAUUACAGGCUGGAGUGGCACGAUCUCAGCUCAUCACAACCUCCAUGUUCCGGGUUCAAGCGAUUCUCCUGCCUCAUCCUCCUGAGUAGCUGUGAUUACAGGCACCCACUACCAUGCCCAGGUUAAUGCUCAGGAUAUCCAUUACACGGGUCCAGCAGUUUGGAGUCGUUCCUGCCCCUGCCCCUCCACAUCCCCAAGGAACAGAUGCUUCUGUCAGGCUGGUGUUGGAUAAACAUCAAAUCCUGGCCCAGAACACCAUGAAACUGAACCAAGGUGAGUGUGGCAAAGCUCAGAAACUGCCCGUUUCCUGGCUCCUCUUUUCCACAUAUUUGCUUGGGCAGUGAGUCUUUGGAGUUGCUGUC
rnacentral:lncRNA from 13 species